rnacentral:tRNA from 1 species
GGAGGGGUGUCCGAGCGGCUUAAGGAGCCGGACUUGAAAUCCGGUGAUGCCCGUCCAGGGCACCGUGGGUUCAAAUCCCACUCCCUCCG